rnacentral:lncRNA from 1 species
AUGUGUGUGCCAGCUCUGGCUUUAACCAAUUCCCUCUUGUUUUCAGAUGAUAAAGAAAACUCCAGGCUGUCUCCUUUCAUCCCAAAAUGUAAAGAAAAAGGUAUUUCUUUGGCUGCUUCCCCUGUGAAGAUCUUGGCUUUGCCGCAGAUGGAGGAAGGCCGUAAGGAAUCGUUCAGCACCGAGGUGGGGACGGCGCGGGCUGCGCCGCGGUGUCCUGCUCCGUCCCCUUUGCCGGACUCUUCGGUGUUAGAAGGGGAGUCCUGUGGCACGAGCGAAGCCUCCUGUGGGGUGGGAGAGGAUUCCUGCUUCUUCAGCUUCACCCAGGACUCGGAGGGCAACCGCAUCAUCGCUCACAGAAACGCAUCUGAUUUAUUUGCUGGAGAAACAGUUUCGGUGAGCAGCAAACGAGGGGGGAGGCUGCUCCCAGAGGAGACAAUUGGACUCGAUUUCCAACCCAGACUCGGUGCAAACGAGAAGAAGAAACCACACCCAUCGAGUAGCAUUAAUUCUUUCACUGAUUUCACUGAGACUGAGAAUACAAAUCCUACUCUGAGGAGAGACAGCACCUGUGCUGCUGGCUUUUAUCCCUCUCCCCAGAGAUCGGCCAGAGCGCAGCCCCUGAGAGAACGCAACCACAACGUGGGGGCUGGAUCAGCCCAGGAGGGACGGGGCAGUCCCUGCAGGGAGCUCUUCACCCAGGACUCCCAGGGGAACAGGGUGAUCGCUCACCGUGCCCAGACCCUUCCAUCCCCCUCCAAGGGCUGCUCCGGCAACGGGAGCUUGAGCGAAGCUGAGGAGCACAAGUUGGACACAUGCUACGAUUUACUGUUCACACAGGAUUCAGAAGGGAACAGAGUGAUUAAACACUGGUGUUGCCAUUAAGCUGUCUUUACUCUUCCCUGGGGCCAGCAUUUACUGUGGACCAAAGUGGAGCUGUGUCAUAGGCCAGGAGUGACCUGCUGCUACACCCUUACACCCAGGGACCCCUUCUCCACAGGCAGGUGUAUCCCCACCACAGCGUUACACAGAGCAGCCUUUUUGGGACACAGAGAGGCUGAUGGUACCAUCCAGAGGCUCUUGGUGUGCUCCCGAGGGGGGGAGAGCUGCAACAACUCCCUGUAAAGCUGAUUAAGUUGUAAAUGCUGUUUCUGAUGGGUGGCCAGAGGCAACACAAGCCUCUGCUCUAAGGUGGGGGGGUGACUUUAAUUUUUUUCAAGGGCUGAGGGCCUGGAGGAUUAAGAAAAUCCUUGGCAUUGAGCGUGUUCAUUUGCAGCACCAGCAGCAGCUGAAAUGCCCCCACCCUCCCCAGAACCCCGCUGCUGACACGCUUGGACGCUGCAAGGACAACCACCAACAAUCUCAAGGACAACCACUGUCUUAUUAAGGCUCCAUUUUAUAUAAAGGAAAAAAAAAAAACCAAACAUACUUUAAAUACAGCCAUGAGGAACAUUGCAGAGGACGUGUAGCUGAAGGAAACCUCUUCAGUCAGUGAGAACUGCGGCCGGUGCCAAGGUCCUUCUUCCCUUCGCUGGGGUGGGUGCUGGGUUCCUAGCAUGGGUGGUUCAAUAAAUAGACCUUUUGAAGGCUAAAUAAAAUACA